rnacentral:rRNA from 1 species
AUGAACGCUGGCGGCGCGCCUAACACAUGCAAGUCGAACGAGUAAGACGCCCUCGGGCGUGGAUAGAGUGGCGAACGGGUGAGUAACACGUGACCAACCUGCCCCCUCCUCCGGGACAACCUCGGGAAACCGAGGCUAAUACCGGAUACUCCGGGCACCCCGCAUGGGAUGCCCGGGAAAGCCCUGGCGGGAGGGGAUGGGGUCGCGGCCCAUCAGGUAGACGGCGGGGUAACGGCCCACCGUGCCUGCAACGGGUAGCCGGGCUGAGAGGCCGAUCGGCCACAUUGGGACUGAGACACGGCCCAGACUCCUACGGGAGGCAGCAGUGGGGAAUUUUGCGCAAUGGGGGCAACCCUGACGCAGCGACGCCGCGUGCGGGACGAAGUCAUUCGUGACGUAAACCGCUUUCAGCGAGGAAGAACCAUGACGGUACUCGCAGAAGAAGCCCCGGCUAACUACGUGCCAGCAGCCGCGGUAAUACGUAGGGGGCGAGCGUUAUCCGGAAUCAUUGGGCGUAAAGCGCGCGCAGGCGGGCUUUCAAGCGGCGGCGUCGAAGCCGGGGGCUCAACCCCCGGAAGCGCCCCGAACUGGAAGCCUCGGAUGCGGCAGGGGGAGGCGGAAUUCCCGGUGUAGCGGUGAAAUGCGCAGAUAUCGGGAAGAACACCGACGGCGAAGGCAGCCUCCUGGGCCGGCAUCGACGCUGAGGCGCGAAAGCUGGGGGAGCGAACAGGAUUAGAUACCCUGGUAGUCCCAGCCGUAAACGAUGGACGCUAGGUGUGGGGGAGCAACCUCCUCCGUGCCGAAGCCAACGCAUUAAGCGUCCCGCCUGGGGAGUACGGCCGCAAGGCUAAAACUCAAAGGAAUUGACGGGGGCCCGCACAAGCAGCGGAGCAUGUGGCUUAAUUCGAAGCAACGCGAAGAACCUUACCAGGGCUUGACAUAUAGGUGAAUAAUUAAGAGAUUAAUUAGUCCUUCGGGACACCUAUACAGGUGGUGCAUGGUUGUCGUCAGCUCGUGUCGUGAGAUGUUGGGUUAAGUCCCGCAACGAGCGCAACCCCUGUUUCUAGUUGCCAGCAUGUAAAGAUGGGAACUCUAGAAAGACUGCCGUAGAUAAUACGGAGGAAGGUGGGGAUGACGUCAAAUCAUCAUGCCCCUUAUGACCUGGGCUACACACGUACUACAAUGGAUGUUAACAGAGGGAAGCAAGACAGCGAUGUGGAGCAAACCCCUAAAAACAUUCUCAGUUCAGAUUGCAGGCUGCAACCCGCCUGCGUGAAGCCGGAGUUGCUAGUAAUCGCGGAUCAGCACGCCGCGGUGAAUACGUUCCCGGGCCUUGUACACACCGCCCGUCACACCACGAGAGUUUGUAACACCCGAAGCCGGUGGAGUAACCUUUUAGGAGCUAGCCGUCGAAGGUGGGACAAAUGAUUGGGGUG